rnacentral:rRNA from 1 species
AGUGAACGCUGGCGGUAGGCCUAACACAUGCAAGUCGAACGGCAGCACAGUAAGAGCUUGCUCUUACGGGUGGCGAGUGGCGGACGGGUGAGGAAUACAUCGGAAUCUACUUUUUCGUGGGGGAUAACGUAGGGAAACUUACGCUAAUACCGCAUACGACCUACGGGUGAAAGCAGGGGAUCUUCAGACCUUGCGCGAUUGAAUGAGCCGAUGUCGGAUUAGCUAGUUGGCGGGGUAAAGGCCCACCAAGGCGACGAUCCGUAGCUGGUCUGAGAGGAUGAUCAGCCACACUGGAACUGAGACACGGUCCAGACUCUUACGGGAGGCAGCAGUGGGGAAUAUUGGACAAUGGGCGCAAGCCUGAUCCAGCCAUACCGCGUGGGUGAAGAAGGCCUGCGGGUUGUAAAGCCCUUUUGUUGGGAAAGAAAAGCAGCAGGUUAAUACCCCGCUGUUCUGACGGUACCCAAAGAAUAAGCACCGGCUAACUUCGG